GAUGAACGCUGGCGGCGUGCCUAAUACAUGCAGUCGAGCGAACAGAUAAGGAGCUUGCUCCUUUGACGUUAGCGGCGGACGGGUGAGUAACACGUGGGUAACCUACCUAUAAGACUGGAAUAACUCCGGGAAACCGGGGCUAAUGCCGGAUAACAUUUAGAACCGCAUGGUUCUAAAGUGAAAGAUGGUUUGGUUAUCACUUAUAGAUGGACCAGCGCCGUAUUAGCUAGUUGGUAAGGUAAUGGCUUACCAAGGCAACGAUACGUAGCCGACCUGAGAGGGGGAUCGGCCACACUGGAACUGAGACACGGUCCAGACUCCUACGGGAGGCAGCAGUAGGUAAUCUUCCGCAAUGGGCGAAAGCCUGACGGAGCAACGCCGCGUGAGUGAUGAAGGGUUUCGGCUCGUAAAACUCUGUUAUUAGGGAAGAACAAACGUGUAAGUAACUGUGCACGUCUUGACGGUACCUAAUCAGAAAGCCACGGCUAACUACGUGCCAGCCGCCGCCGUAA
rnacentral:rRNA from 1 species